CUAGACCAGAGGUGGGGUGAAUGAGAGCUUGGAGCUCCCAGGCACCAUCAGAAUCCCUUGUACUGACAGUGGUCACAUGACCCAGUUCUAGACCAUGAAACAAGGAGAAAUCUGCUGGGAAAGGAAACACAGGGAAAAUAGACAUAGCCAGCAUCACUCUAUCUCCCUCUUCCUACCUUGAAAGAGGAUGUGAUGGCUGGAAUUGCAGCAGCCACAUUAUGACCAUGAGGCAGAGGCCAAAAGAAGUGCAAUGACACAAGUCCUAACAUAAUUGAGCCACUGAACUAAUGCCAAGAGCUCUCUACCUGUGUUUUUCUUGUAAUAAAAACAAACACCUAUUUGUUUAGGA